CUAUCACGUGCGAUCACCGAAGUUAAUCAACGUCGAGUGAGGUCAGUACUUAGAUGAAUGACCGCUUGGGAAUACCUGGUGCUGUAAG